rnacentral:rRNA from 1 species
AGCAGUAGCCACGGUAAUACGAAGGGUGCAAGCGUUAAUCGGAAUUACUGGGCGUAAAGCGUGCGUAGGCGGUGAGUUAAGUCUGCUGUGAAAUCCCCGGGCUCAACCUGGGAAUGGCAGUGGAUACUGGCUCGCUAGAGUGUGUCAGAGGUUGGUGGAAUUCCCGGUGUAGCGGUGAAAUGCGUAGAGAUCGGGAGGAACAUCAGUGGCGAAGGCGGCCAUCUGGGACAACACUGACGCUGAGGCACGAAAGCGUGGGGAGCAAACAGGAUUAGAUACCCCCGUAGUCCCUGUCUCUUAUAC